rnacentral:rRNA from 1 species
GAGCACGUAGGUGGGUUUGUAAGUCAGAUGUGAAAGCCUUCUGUUCAACGGAAGAAUUGCAUCUGAAACUGCGAGUCUUGAGUGUAGGAGGGGAGAAUGGAACUUCCGGUGGAGCGGUGAAAUGCGUAGAUAUCAGAAGGAACUCCGGCGGCGAAAGCGAUUCUCUGGCCUAUUACUGACACUCAGUAUGCGAAAGCUAGGGGAGCAAACGGGAUUAGAUACCCCGGUAGUCCUAGCCGUAAACGAUGGGCACUAAGUAGAGGGGUUUU